UCCUGGGGUAGCUCAGUCAGUAGAGCAUGAGGCUCUUAAUCUCAGAGUCGUGGGUUCAAGUUCCAUUGGGCA